CCCUCCGUAAAAUCCAUGGGCACCAUACACUCCAUGAUCACCGUAGCCCCAAACUGCACCACGACGGUCGCGUCCGGCAGCCGCAACACCGAAAAUAGCCAAAGCGAUGAUCUGUGCACGAUAACUUUGUAUAAGGAUUACAAGUAGGCGAUCGAUAAUUACACCUUUGGAUGAGUCACUUCACACGAUUCCUCAGGUGAAGUAGCGUCUGCGAGGGAAGAUAAAAAUUGUGAAAGAAGGAAGCUGAGAAGGUAUCAUAGACGUAACACUGUUAGUCUCCAGCAAGCAAACUAACGAUUAUGGUCUAAUGUGGCACUCAACAGUCGGGUGGUGCAUAACCAUUUGCCUUUCACUUUCAGUGCUCGGCUAUAAUACAUUACGAUUCCUAUCCGGUGUGUUUGCGGAAAUUGAAUUUUAUAAAAAAUUCAAACAAGUAUAUACUCAAUAAUUACUGUCCGAUAUUUAUCACCAAUGGGAUUAAUAAAUUUAAUUGCUUGCGUUGUUUGAAAGAAAAAACAAAUGUUUAGACAAGUCACGCGAUAAAUAAUUGUAUCCGUACUUUGAAAUUUAUGUACGCGGAAUUGGCAAGUUGAGUUGUUAUGUCACAAAGGGUGUAACGAGCGAAACUAAGUCCCGGUGAAAAUUAAUACGUGGUGCUGUAACACUUCGUAAUUGGAGUGAUAGUAUAAGUCGAUUGCAUUUUCGCUUAGUUAAUACCGUAAACUGGCUGUUUUAGAUCCAUAUUAGGCGAAAAAUUCUUCCCAGCCCAUUACGUUACAAACCAGUGUUGAAAAAAGAACUAGGUUGAUUGGCGCAAACGUAAUCGUAAAUAGUUCAUUACUGUUAGAUAUAUUUAAUUAGUUAUUACUCGAUUUAUAUG